GGGUUGUGAGGUUAAGCGACUAAGCGUACACGGUGGAUGCCCCGCAGUCAGAGGCGAUGAAGGACGUGCUAAUCUGCGAAAAGCGUCGGUAAGGUGAUAUGAACCGUUAUAACCGGCGAUGUCCGAAUGGGGAAACCCAGUGCAAUUCGUUGCACUAUCGUUAACUGAAUACAUAGGUUAACGAGGCGAACCGGGGGGAACUGAAACAUCUAAGUACCCCGAGGAAAAGAAAUCAACCGAGAUUCCCCCAGUAGCGGCGAGCGAACGGGGAGCAGCCCAGAGUCUGAAUCAGCUUGUGUGUUAGUGGAACGGUCUGGAAAGUCCGACGGUACAGGGUGAUAGUCCCGUACACCAAAAUGCACAGGCUGUGAACUCGAAGAGUAGGGCGGGACACGUGGUAUCCUGUCUGAAUAUGGGGGGACCAUCCUCCAAGGCUAAAUACUCCUGACUGACCGAUAGUGAACCAGUACCGUGAGGGAAAGGCGAAAAGAACCCCGGCGAGGGGAGUGAAAAAGAACCUGAAACCGUGUACGUACAAGCAGUGGGAGCACCUUCGGGUGUGACUGCGUACCUUUUGUAUAAUGGGUCAGCGACUUAUAUUCUGUAGCAAGGUUAACCGUAUAGGGGAGCCGCAGGGAAACCGAGUCUUAACUGGGCGUUAAGUUGCAGGGUAUAGACCCGAAACCCGGUGAUCUAGCCAUGGGCAGGUUGAAGGUUGGGUAACACUAACUGGAGGACCGAACCGACUAAUGUUGAAAAAUUAGCGGAUGACUUGUGGCUGGGGGUGAAAGGCCAAUCAAACCGGGAGAUAGCUGGUUCUCCCCGAAAGCUAUUUAGGUAGCGCCUCGUGAAUUCAUCUUCGGGGGUAGAGCACUGUUUCGGCUAGGGGGGUCAUCCCGACUUACCAACCCGAUGCAAACUACGAAUACCGAAGAAUGUUAUCACGGGAGACACACGGCGGGUGCUAACGUCCGUCGUGAAGAGGGAAACAACCCAGACCGCCAGCUAAGGUCCCAAAGUCAUGGUUAAGUGGGAAACGAUGUGGGAAGGCACAGACAGCCAGGAUGUUGGCUUAGAAGCAGCCAUCAUUUAAAGAAAGCGUAAUAGCUCACUGGUCGAGUCGGCCUGCGCGGAAGAUGUAACGGGGCUAAACCAUGCACCGAAGCUGCGGCAGCGACACUAUGUGUUGUUGGGUAGGGGAGCGUUCUGUAAGCCUGCGAAGGUGACCUGUGAGGGUUGCUGGAGGUAUCAGAAGUGCGAAUGCUGACAUAAGUAACGAUAAAGCGGGUGAAAAGCCCGCUCGCCGGAAGACCAAGGGUUCCUGUCCAACGUUAAUCGGGGCAGGGUGAGUCGACCCCUAAGGCGAGGCCGAAAGGCGUAGUCGAUGGGAAACAGGUUAAUAUUCCUGUACUUGGUGUUACUGCGAAGGGGGGACGGAGAAGGCUAUGUUAGCCGGGCGACGGUUGUCCCGGUUUAAGCAUGUAGGCUGGUUAUCCAGGCAAAUCCGGAUAAUCAAGGCUGAGGUGUGAUGACGAGGCACUACGGUGCUGAAGUAACAAAUGCCCUGCUUCCAGGAAAAGCCUCUAAGCAUCAGGUAACAUCAAAUCGUACCCCAAACCGACACAGGUGGUCAGGUAGAGAAUACCAAGGCGCUUGAGAGAACUCGGGUGAAGGAACUAGGCAAAAUGGUGCCGUAACUUCGGGAGAAGGCACGCUGGUGUGUAGGUGAAGUCCCUGCGGAUGGAGCUGAGACCAGUCGAAGAUACCAGCUGGCUGCAACUGUUUAUUAAAAACACAGCACUGUGCAAACACGAAAGUGGACGUAUACGGUGUGACGCCUGCCCGGUGCCGGAAGGUUAAUUGAUGGGGUUAUCCGUAAGGAGAAGCUCUUGAUCGAAGCCCCGGUAAACGGCGGCCGUAACUAUAACGGUCCUAAGGUAGCGAAAUUCCUUGUCGGGUAAGUUCCGACCUGCACGAAUGGCGUAAUGAUGGCCAGGCUGUCUCCACCCGAGACUCAGUGAAAUUGAACUCGCUGUGAAGAUGCAGUGUACCCGCGGCAAGACGGAAAGACCCCGUGAACCUUUACUAUAGCUUGACACUGAACAUUGAGCCUUGAUGUGUAGGAUAGGUGGGAGGCUUUGAAGCGUGGACGCCAGUCUGCGUGGAGCCAACCUUGAAAUACCACCCUUUAAUGUUUGAUGUUCUAACGUUGGCCCCUUACCGGGGUUGCGGACAGUGUCUGGUGGGUAGUUUGACUGGGGCGGUCUCCUCCCAAAGCGUAACGGAGGAGCACGAAGGUUAGCUAAUCCUGGUCGGACAUCAGGAGGUUAGUGCAAUGGCAUAAGCUAGCUUGACUGCGAGCGUGACGGCGCGAGCAGGUGCGAAAGCAGGUCAUAGUGAUCCGGUGGUUCUGAAUGGAAGGGCCAUCGCUCAACGGAUAAAAGGUACUCCGGGGAUAACAGGCUGAUACCGCCCAAGAGUUCAUAUCGACGGCGGUGUUUGGCACCUCGAUGUCGGCUCAUCACAUCCUGGGGCUGAAGUAGGUCCCAAGGGUAUGGCUGUUCGCCAUUUAAAGUGGUACGCGAGCUGGGUUUAGAACGUCGUGAGACAGUUCGGUCCCUAUCUGCCGUGGGCGCUGGAGAAUUGAGGGGGGCUGCUCCUAGUACGAGAGGACCGGAGUGGACGCAUCACUGGUGUUCGGGUUGUCAUGCCAAUGGCACUGCCCGGUAGCUAAAUGCGGAAGAGAUAAGUGCUGAAAGCAUCUAAGCACGAAACUUGCCCCGAGAUGAGUUCUCCUGAGACUUUAAGUCUCCUGAAGGAACGUUGAAGACGACGACGUUGAUAGGCCGGGUGUGUAAGCGCAGCGAUGCGUUGAGCUAACCGGUACUAAUGAACCGUGAGGCUUAACCUUACAACGCCGAAG
rnacentral:rRNA from 1 species